rnacentral:rRNA from 1 species
GACGAACGCUGGCGGCAGGCUUAACACAUGCAAGUCGAGCGCCCCGCAAGGGGAGCGGCAGACGGGUGAGUAACGCGUGGGAAUCUACCCAUCUCUACGGAAUAACGCAUGGAAACGUGUGCUAAUACCGUAUACGUCCUUCGGGAGAAAGAUUUAUCGGAGAUGGAUGAGCCCGCGUUGGUUUAGCUAGUUGGUGGGGUAAAGGCCUACCAAGGCGACGAUCCAUAGCUGGUCUGAGAGGAUGAUCAGCCACACUGGGACUGAGACACGGCCCAGACUCCUACGGGAGGCAGCAGUGGGGAAUAUUGGACAAUGGGCGCAAGCCUGAUCCAGCCAUGCCGCGUGAGUGAUGAAGGCCCUAGGGUUGUAAAGCUCUUUCACCGGUGAAGAUAAUGACGGUAACCGGAGAAGAAGCCCCGGCUAACUUCGUGCCAGCCGCCGCGGUAAGAC